rnacentral:rRNA from 1 species
GACGAGGAUAACCAUUGGAAACGAUGGCUAAGACUGGAUAGGAAUAUAUGAGGCAUCUUAAAUAUUUUAAAAGACCUAGCAAUAGGUAUACUUAAGGAGGGGCCUGCGGCGCAUUAGUUAGUUGGUGAGGUGAGAGCUCACCAAGACGAUGAUGCGUAGCCGGACUGAGAGGUUGAACGGCCACAUUGGGACUGAGAAACGGCCCAAACUCCUACGGGAGGCAGCAGUAGGGAAUUUUCGGCAAUGGAGGAAACUCUGACCGAGCAACGCCGCGUGAAUGACGAAGUACUUCGGUAUGUAAAGUUCUUUUAUCAAGGAAGAAUGACUCGUGGAAAAACGAGUGUGACGGUACUUGAUGAAUAAGCCCCGGCUAACUAUGUGCCAGCAGCCGCGGUAAUACAUAGGGGGCAAGCGUUAUCCGGAAUUAUUGGGCGUAAAGGGUGCGUAGGCGGUUAUUUAAGUCUUUGGUGUAAGUGCAAGGCUCAACCUUGUGAUGCUAAGGAAACUGGAUAACUUGAGUGUGAUAGAGGUAAGUGGAAUUCCAUGUGUAGCGGUAAAAUGCGUAAAUAUAUGGAGGAACACCAGUGGCGAAGGCGGCUUACUGGGUCACAACUGACGCUGAGGCACGAAAGCGUGGGGAGCAAACAGGAUUAGAUACCCUGGUAGUCCACGCCGUAAACGAUGAGUACUAAGUGUUGGAGAAAUUCAGUGCUGUAGUUAACGCAAUAAGUACUCCGCCUGAGUAGUACGUGCGCAAGCAUGAAACUCAAAGGAAUUGACGGGACCCCGCACAAGCGGUGGAUCAUGUUGUUUAAUUCGAUGAUACGCGAAGAACCUUACCAGGUCUUGACAUCCCAUGCAAAGCUUAAGAGAUUAAGUGGAGGUUAUCAUGGA